rnacentral:tRNA from 1 species
UUCCCCGGUUGGUCUGCCGGUAGGGCCCGCCUGACUUUGAAUCAGGACUAGCGACGUAGGUUCGACUCCUACCCGGGGAGCCCA